AACCCAGAGGCAAGAGCUGAUGCAGACCGUGUGGGAACACUGCUUGCUGACUUCAUCUCUGUGGCUUACUCAACUGGUUUUCUUACACCACCCAGGGCCACCUGGCCAGGGGUGACACUGCUCACAACAAAAACAGACAAGGCCCACAGGUGCAUCGGUUAGAGGCGGUUCAUCAGCUGAGUCCCACAUCCAGGUGACUCUGUGUGAGGCUGGUAAACCCAGAGGAGGAUAGAUGGUUUUCUCUGGUAUUAAGGCUUUAGAAUAUUAUAAACGAGUGCAGUUCUUGUAUGUAACUGAUAUUCCAAAUGAUGUGUAUGGCGGGGUGGGCUUAAGGUAGUGGCCUCUUUGCAUUUGUAGAGAUUUAGCUCAGUUUUAGAGAUGUAAAAUAAUCUGUUUCCUUAUGGCCUUGUUUAGCCUAAAACAUUUUUAUUCAAUAAAGCUUUUAAUUU
rnacentral:lncRNA from 1 species